GAUGAACGCUAGCUACAGGCUUAACACAUGCAAGUCGAGGGGUAACGAGAGGAAAGCUUGCUUUCCUUGUCGACGACCGGCGCACGGGUGAGUAACGCGUAUCCAACCUGCCCCCAACUAGGGAAUAACCUUGCGAAAGUAAGACUAAUACCCUAUAAUUUCCACAGAUGUCAUCUGACGAGGAAUAAAGAUUUAUCGGUUGUGGAUGGGGAUGCGUCUGAUUAGCUUGUUGGCGGGGUAACGGCCCACCAGGGCAACGAUCAGUACGGGUUCUCAAAGGAAGGUCCCCCACAUUGGAAACGAGACACGGUCCAAACUAGCACGGGAGGCAGCAGUGAGGAAUAUUGGUCAAUGGGCGGAAGCCUGAACCAGCAAAGUAGCGUGCAGGAUGACGGCCCUAUGGGUUGUAAACUGCUUUUAUACAGGAAUAAAGUUAGCCACGUGUGGUUAUUUGUAGGUACUGUAUGAAUAAGGACCGGCUAAUUCCGUGCCAGCCGCCGCCGUAA
rnacentral:rRNA from 1 species